rfam:Picea glauca, whole genome shotgun sequence.
UCAUGUAAUUAUUCCUAGAACAUUAAUGCAUCAAAUCCCAUUAGAACUCCGCAAUUAAGACCACUUGGGCUAGAGUAGUACUAGAAUGGGUGACCUCACAAGAAGUCCUAGUGUUUUACAUGCC